rnacentral:rRNA from 1 species
UCUGGUUGAUCCUGCCAGUUGUCAUAUGCUUGUCUCAAAGAUUAAGCCAUGCAAGUGUAAGUAUAAAUAGACAAAUUGUACUAUGAGACUGCGAAUGGCUCAUUAAAUCAGCAAUAAUUUAUUCGGUGGAUGAAGUAAUUCUAAAAGGAUAACCGUGGUAAAUCUAGAGCUAAUACAUGCAAAGAAGAUCAAGUAAAAUUGAUGCGUAUAUUAGAUACAAAACCUCUAUAACGGGUGAUUCAUAAUAUUCAAAGCAGAUCGCAAUUGAAAAAGAUAGCGACAAACCGAUCAAAUUUCUGCCCUAUCAACUUUGGACGGUAACGUAGUGGGUUACGGUGGUUAUGACGGGUAACGGAGAAUUAGGGUUUGAUUCCGGAGAAUGCGCAUGAGAAAUAGCGACUACUUUCAAGAAAGGCAGCAGGCGCGUAAAUUACCCAAUCCUGACACAGGGAGGUAGUGACAACAAAUAACAAUGGUUGUAUGAAAUGUAUGACUAAUUGGAAUGAGAACAAUUUAAAGCCCUUAUCGAGUAACAAUUGGAGGGUAAGUUCUGGUGCCAGCAGCCGCGGUAAUUCCAGCUCCAAUAGUGUAUACGAAUGUUGUUGCAGUUAAAACGCUCGUAGUUGGAAAUAGAUUUUUUUGGGUCGGACAGUUAAGAGAUUAACUGGAAGAUUGAGAAAAAAUAGAAAUAUAAUAUAAACUUGUGGAAACACAAGGGAAUAUAAUUUACUUUGAAUAAAUUAGAGUGCUCCAAGCAAUCUGAAAAGAAAAUGGAAACAUUUCUCUUUUAUAUAAGAUGAUGGAAUAAUAAAGCAUGGGAUAAUAAAAAAGGAUUUGAAAGAAACAUUUUUGGUUGGUUUUGAUUUUUUUAAAUAAUGAUAAAUAGGAACGGUUGGGGGUAUUUGUAUUGAAUAGUCAGAGGUGAAAUUCAAGGAUUUGUUCAAGACAAACAUCAGCGAAAGCAUUUACCAAGGACGUUUCCAUUAAUCAAGAACGAAAGUUAGGGGAUCGAAGAUGAUCAGAUACCGUCGUAGUCCUAACCAUAAACAAUGCCGACCAAAGAUAAGAGGGUCGUAAUUUGGGCCUUGUUGGAAACGACAAGACACAAAUAAAACUCCUUUUGAAUUUUAGAGGGAAACCAGUAGUGUAUGGGUUCUGGGGGGAGUACGGUAGCAAGGCUGAAACUUGAAGGAAUUGACGGAAGGGCACCACCAGGUGUGGAACCUGCGGCUUAAUUCGACCCAACACGGGAAAACUUACCAGGUCCGGACACAGGAAGGAUUGACAGAUUGAUUUGUG